rnacentral:rRNA from 1 species
AGGAUGAACGCUGGCGGCGUGCUUAACACAUGCAAGUCGAACGAAGCCAUUAUGAACGACUGGAGAGCUUGCUCGAAGGAAGGGAGUAAUGGACUGAGUGGCGGACGGGUGAGUAACGCGUGGGUAACCUGCCUCAUACAGGGGGAUAACAGUUAGAAAUGACUGCUAAUACCGCAUAAGCGCACAGUACCGCAUGGUACGGUGUGAAAAAACUCCGGUGGUAUGAGAUGGACCCGCGUCUGAUUAGCUAGUUGGUGAGGUAACGGCCCACCAAGGCGACGAUCAGUAGCCGGCUUGAGAGAGUGAACGGCCACAUUGGGACUGAGACACGGCCCAAACUCCUACGGGAGGCAGCAGUGGGGAGUAUUGCACAAUGGGGGAAACCCUGAUGCCAGCGACGCCGCGUGAGUGAAGAAGUAUUUCGGUAUGUAAAGCUCUAUCAGCAGGGAAGAUAAUGACGGUACCUGACUAAGAAGCCCCGGCUAACUACGUGCCAGCCGCCGC